CAGCCUCCCUUGCGUUGGGUUGGGGCCACGUGAGGAAUCCUGGCGAACUGGCUGUAAGCAGAAGUGAGACAGGCUUCUAAAGAGACCAACCACCUUAUUUUCUUCUGAAGCAGACAAGCUGGACGUCCUAGAUCAAAUGUCAGCAAAUCCAUGGGAUGUACUCAGAGCGACAGACGCUGAACUGGUGAAGGUACUCCGGAGCUAUGAAGACAUGAAAAGCAGAAUACCAUCCUGGAAAUGUCAGCCCAAACACGUCUCCUGUGGUUUUACUCAGCCGCUAGACCAGGAGAAUCCCAAGUCUACUUGUCUUGCUUGUGACCCUGGAGUCCCACCGCUGGGGGCUCCCAGAUCCAUUUUUACUCACACUGGGACAUCACAACCCCUUUUAAUCUGUUCUUCGCUUGGAAAUUUGGUGUGUUAAUAGUCCCUCCUUCCUAAAGCGAAGUGAUAUGAUGUA